UACGUAGGGGGCGAGCGUUGUCCGGAUUCAUUGGGCGUAAAGCGCGCGUAGGCGGCUUCGCAAGUCGGCCGUGAAAUCUCCGGGCUCAACUCGGAGGGGUCGGGCGAGACUGCGAGGCUCGAGGUGGGCAGAGGGCAGUGGAAUUCCGGGUGUAGUGGUGGAAUGCGCAGAUAUCAGGAAGAACACCCGUGGCGAAGGCGGCUCUCUGGGACGGUACUGACGCUGAGACGCGAAAGCGUGGGGAGCGAACAGG
rnacentral:rRNA from 1 species